rnacentral:pre_miRNA from 1 species
CAACUACUCCCUCCGUCCCAUAUUAAGUGUCGCAACUUUGUGUAUAUGUCUAGACGCGUUUUAGUGUGUACGUACAUGCAUAUCUAGACAAAGUUGGGACACUUAAUAUGGGACGGAGGGAAUAGCAU